rnacentral:rRNA from 1 species
UACGGGGGGAGCAAGCGUUGUUCGGAUUUACUGGGCGUAAAGGGCGCGUAGGCGGCUCAACAAGUCACUUGUGAAAUCUCCGGGCUUAACCCGGAGCGGCCAAGUGAUACUGUCGUGCUAGAGUGCGGAAGGGGCUACUGGAAUUCUCGGUGUAGCGGUGAAAUGCGUAGAUAUCGAGAGGAACACCUGUGGCGAAGGCGGGUAGCUGGGCCGACACUGACGCUGAGGCGCGAAAGCCAGGGGAGCGAACGGG